GUGGUGUGACCGACUAAGACACGUUCACUUAAACGAGAGAAGAGGGGUACGGUCAAUGGGUCUCGAAGCGAUUUGCCCGCCAGAGUGCAUUGACGGCGUGGAAAAGCGUUGCUAUGCUUCUCUUUUUCUUCUUAUUUUUCAUUUUUA
ensembl:ncRNA F25D7.11 ncRNA